rnacentral:misc_RNA from 1 species
GAAAUGCGAUAAGUAAUGUGAAUUGCAGAAUUCAGUGAAUCAUCGAAUCUUUGAACGCACCUUGCGCUCCUUGGUAUUCCUUGGAGCAUGCCUGUUUGAGUAUCAUGAAAUCUUCAAAGUAAAUCUUUUGUUAACUCAAUUGGUUUCUACUUUGGUAUUGGAGGUCUUUGCAGCUUCACACCUGCUCCUCUUUGUUCAUUAGCUGGAUCUCAGUGUUAUGCUUGGUUCCACUCGGCGUGAUAAGUUAUCUAUCGCUGAGGACACUGUAAAAGGUGGCCAAGGUAAAUGCAGAUGAACCGCUUCUAAUAGUCCAUUGACUUGGACAAUACUUUUAUGAUCUGAUCUCAAAUCAGGUAGGACUACCUGCUGAACUUAAGC